ensembl:lncRNA
CCCCCCCGUUACUCCACCAGACGCAGCUCAGAGCGGCUCCUGCGUGGGGGGCAGUUGGGCAGUUUCUCAAAAAGCUGUGCAGGUGACUGUGGUGGCGGCGGUGUCCAUGCGUAUCACAGGAUCACGAAAGCGCGAUGCCGGUUUACUUGUUUCCCGUGGAUGAAGAUGUUCUGCCGUGAUCGCUGCUUCCCCCACUUCCCAUCACCCUGCGGAUCAAAGAAGCAUGAAUAUUAAUCAGAGGCAGACACUAAAUGUCCAACCCUCCGCUCUAUAAGGAGAAGAAGAAGGCAUUGUUGGCACGAGAGGCUGAUUCCUCCGUCCACAAACCAAACAGCGGAGAAACGUCCCUGCCUGGUCGUCGCUGGGUAAGGCCCCUUUAUUGGGAUUAAUGUGGAACGACGUUCCGCCUGUGAGGCACCAUCCGCUGGUGAGAGGCGGGGGGGGGGAGGUUUGCACGGGCAGCCCGCUCGCUGUGAGGUCCAUCUGGGAGAUGCUGAGGCGCUUGGCCCGUCCGGCUGCGGAGGAGAUGGAUCUCUUACAGGUGCCUCUGCCAGCAUGGACCAAUUACGGAUUGGAUGCACACAUGCACUGGUAACACACACACACACACACACAAAUGUCCAUCCAUUAACAACAACAGGAAGAAAUGUGCCCCUCGUGUUAUUUGUGGAAAAUGUUUUUUUUCUUUUAAUUGGGGAACUUUGUUAAAAACUUAUUUAAAGUAUUAGAACUUUGAAAAUAGACCUCAUCAUGAACCAUUUGAUAAAUUAAAUUCAUCCAACACAAAGGGUUCGGCGUUAAAAAAAACAACAUUAGGUAGUAUAAUAAUUAAUAAUAAAUAAUACUGUGUUUAACAAUAAUUCUCUGAAGGGAUGACAGAGCCAGAGACACGCAUGAUUUCGGGAUGCGAUAACUAACGUAUCAAAGGGUCUUUUGUUGUUUGUUUCACGUUCUGCUGCCCAUAAGAAUCUCACCAGAUCUAUGAAGGUUGUUGUGUUCAAUCCCUUUGUCUGCAUCACCAAAGGUACAUG